AGCAGCCGCGGUAAUUCCAGCUCCAAUAGCGUAUAUUAAAGUUGUUGCAGUUAAAAAGCUCGUAGUUGAAUUUCGGGAUCAAUUAAUUGGUCGUGCCUCUGGUACGUACUGAUUUUAUUGGUUUCUCCCUUCUGACGAACCAUGAUGUCAUUAAUUUGGUGUCGUGGAGAAUCAGGACUGUUACUUUGAAAAAUUAGAGUGUUUAAAGCAAGCUAACGCUUGAAUACAUUAGCAUGGAAUAAUGAAAUAGGACGUUUGAUCCUAUUUUGUUGGUUUCUAGGAUCGACGUAAUGAUUAAUAGGGAUAGUUGGGGGCAUUAGUAUUCAAUUGUCAGAGGUGAAAUUCUUGGAUUUAUUGAAGACUAACUACUGCGAAAGCAUUUGCCAAGGAUGUUUUCAUUAAUCAAGAACGAAAGUUAGGGGAUCGAAGACGAUCAGAUACCGUCGUAGUCUUAACCAUAAACUAUGCCGACUAGGGAUCGGAUGAUGUUAAUUUUUAAUGUACUCAUUCGGCGCC
rnacentral:rRNA from 1 species